rnacentral:lncRNA from 1 species
CACUGGUGCACGUGCGUGAUGUCCUGGAGCAGGUACUCCUGCUCCAGGGUAGCUGACCACGCGCCGCGCCCAGGCACAGUACCACGCCGCACAUCUCGCGGACCUCGUGCUCCUACAGCUCGAACAUUGUGGCGCUGCCUGCCUUCUGCUGCCACAGCGCUGCAGCCUCGCCAUCCAGGCUGCGGUUGUGCACCUCUAGCUGCCGCACCUUGUCGAUGUAGCCCGCGAAGGGGUCGUUCAGUGCCUGCAGCUGCUUCUUCUCACUGCGCGCCGCUGCUGCUGCCACCAAACAAACCUCCGGCCCGGUUGCUCAGCGUGUCCAGCCAGUCAGUGCUCGAGGCGGGGCCUGCACCACGGAAGCUGCUGGGCGAGGCGGCCACGGAGCUCACAGACGUCCGUGUCCUCGAGAGGAAACGCUGGAGGAGCCCGCGGUCGAGCACAUCCCGUCUGCGCUGUCCGUUCCGGCCUGCUGGCAGUGGAGUCUGCAGCCGCUGGGCAUUGGCGCGAACUGGACGCCCAGCAACGCAUCCGCGCUGCAGAAGCUCAUCAUGGCCAGAGCAGUGUUUUGCUCUUGUUGUCCCGACUGGAUUGCAAUGGCCCCAUCUCAACUCACAUCAACCUCUGCCUUCUAGGCAUAUGAUAUUAUGCGGCCAUUCUGCUGUCACUCAGCAAAAGUGUUUUAAUUUAGAAGACAAGAAAAAUUAAAUUAAUAAUCUAGCAAGAUUUUUGAAACUUGUGUCAGAAAUUGAGUGAAAGAGACUCUGCACUUCUUUCAGGUAAGUAUAAGGAAUAUUAAAAAGAAAUAAUUUUAAAUAAACAUCUUUUUAUUAAAAUAGGUAACAAAUUACUAUUUUAGCAUAGAGAA